rnacentral:rRNA from 1 species
AAAUUGAAGAGUUUGAUCAUGGCUCAGAUUGAACGCUGGCGGCAGGCCUAACACAUGCAAGUCGAGCGGUAGCACAGAGAGCUUGCUCUCGGGUGACGAGCGGCGGACGGGUGAGUAAUGUCUGGGAAACUGCCUGAUGGAGGGGGAUAACUACUGGAAACGGUAGCUAAUACCGCAUAAUGUCGCAAGACCAAAGUGGGGGACCUUCGGGCCUCAUGCCAUCAGAUGUGCCCAGAUGGGAUUAGCUUGUAGGUGGGGUAACGGCUCACCUAGGCGACGAUCCCUAGCUGGUCUGAGAGGAUGACCAGCCACACUGGAACUGAGACACGGUCCAGACUCCUACGGGAGGCAGCAGUGGGGAAUAUUGCACAAUGGGCGCAAGCCUGAUGCAGCCAUGCCGCGUGUGUGAAGAAGGCCUUCGGGUUGUAAAGCACUUUCAGCGGGGAGGAAGGCGUUAAGGUUAAUAACCUUGGCGAUUGACGUUACCCGCAGAAGAAGCACCGGCUAACUCCGUGCCAGCAGCCGCGGUAAUACGGAGGGUGCAAGCGUUAAUCGGAAUUACUGGGCGUAAAGCGCACGCAGGCGGUCUGUCAAGUCGGA